CCUACGGGUGGCAGCAGUGAGGAAUAUUGGUCAAUGGGCGCGAGCCUGAACCAGCCAAGUAGCGUGAAGGAUGACUGCCCUACGGGUUGUAAACUUCUUUUAUAAAGGAAUAAAGUGAUGCACGUGUGCCUUUUUGUAUGUACUUUAUGAAUAAGGAUCGGCUAACUCCGUGCCAGCAGCCGCGGUAAUACGGAGGAUCCGAGCGUUAUCCGGAUUUAUUGGGUUUAAAGGGAGCGUAGAUGGGUUGUUAAGUCAGUUGUGAAAGUUUGCGGCUCAACCGUAAAAUUGCAAUUGAUACUGUCAGCCUUGAGUACAGUUGAGGUAGGCGGAAUUCGUGGUGUAGCGGUGAAAUGCUUAGAUAUCACGAAGAACUCCGAUUGCGAAGGCAGCCUACUAAACUGUCACUGACAUUGAUGCUCGAAAGUGUGGGUAGCAAACAGGAUUAGAUACCCUUGUAGUC
rnacentral:rRNA from 1 species